UGUUCCUUUUUGGACCACUUUGUUCACAUUGGACUUGUUUGUAACUAGUUCAAUACUGUUUAGCCCAAAAAGCUUCUCACUUCUUAUCUGAUUAUUCGACUGUUCAUGAACCUUAUUGGAGAGGGUGGAGUUGCACUGUUCAUUUUUGGACCACUGUGUUCACAUUGUGCUUGUUUGUAGCUGGUUCAAUACGGUUUACCUAAAAGGCUUCUCACUUUUCAUUCGAUUGUUCGACUGUUCGUGAACGGGUUCCAUUACCGUUCCCUAAAUAUCUCCACUAAAAAGUGCAUUUUGCGUUCUCUCUCACUUUGUGCUAUGCUUUUCGAUCUCUCUGCUUUUGGAUCUCGAUUCCAUCGGACUUCAACAUACAAUUUGGGGACGAGGAUGAAGAAGACGAAGACGACGAAGAAAAAGGCUCCGUUGUGACGACUGGUGAAGGAGGAGGAGCUGAAGCUCGAGAUCGAUGACCUCAAGGCCAAGGUCAAUACUUUUUUCCCCUGAAGAGAACCAAAAUUUGCAAAGUGAGAAUGACUUAUUGAUUGCUAUAAAUUUGUUUAGUUUAAUUUUUUUUGUGGUUUUGUCGCACAUGAAGGGGCUGCAGCAAUUUGCCGACGUGGAAGGAGCUUAGAAAUUCAUAAUAAUGCAUCUGCUGAGGUAGCAGUAGACCUGUAUCACAAAUACAAAGUAGUUGGAUUUUAAAUCUUCGUUUAAAAUUUGACCAUGCAUUAACGAAAUUUUACACGAACCAUUUCUGUGAAUAUAUAGCAAGAUGUCGAUCUUAUGGCGGAACUGAACUUGGAUCCUUACUGGUUUUUAAUUUCGUGGUCAAGAAUAUAUACGAGUAAUUGUCGUAACAGAUAUUUUCACUUGACUUAAUUUAUGAAUAAUCAGUAGCACAAGUAACUACAUGUUCUUUACAUGUAGAUGGAACUGGGAAAGUAAAUUGGAAGAGAGUUGCUUAUAUAGUGGGCUGAUCAACUAUAUGCUCAGCUGUGAAAUAGUAUAAGUAUCAUAAGAAAAUCAAUGUGAUUUAAUUGUGUUCUAUUUGUAUAAUAUUGAUUCAAGUUCCACAGGAAAGAUUUUGCUAAUUAUGCAUAAUGUUGUUUCAAAACAUUUGAGGAUAGAGUAAAGAAUUGGCAGACAUUUAAUUAACCUAUAGUGAUAGCUGUACUUGGAUAUGACUACGUGUUCUUUGCACCAGAACGAUGCUCAAAAACAUUUGCAAAUUGCGCUGAAGGAGAUUCUGCAAUCGAACCAUAUAUUUUUGGUCAUAAUCUUAUGGAAUUCGACUACCGCUUAGAGAUACAAGAAGAAAUAUCAAGUAAAAUAAACAUUUAUGUCCUUCACUUAAACACAAAAAAUUACAGAUUUUUCCAAUCUGCUUCAAUAUGCCUGUCCUUUUUAUUAAAUUCAAGUCUUUUUGGUUUAAGGGAGAUAGUGUUUUUGAAUAUCUUUGAAAAUGUCUUCACAGGAGGAAAGGGGCGAGGGAAAGGAUAGGCGUUCUUUUGGAUUUCACUUGGUAUGAACCAUUGACAAGAUCUUAAGCCAAUAAAUUUUGCAGCUCAAAUCGAAUGAGAUUUUCAAAUCGAUGGUAAGAAUCAAUAACAAUAGUUCUGGUUGAAGAUUUAUAGAAAAAAAAUUAGUCACUUCAACUAAAAUCUAAGCCAUUUAACGUAAAUAUUUUUUUGAAACUAUAAUUUAUUCAAAUGAUAUAGAUUGGAAGAACCAUUUCUCCUUUUCUCAUUUAUUUGCCCAGAACUUGUCAAUAUAUUUUAUGAUAAUUUCCUCAAAAUGAAGAACCAUAACAAUAUCUCCUCCCAUUUAAUCAAUAUAGGUUUAUACAUCCUCCUGUAUAUGGUGAAUAUCGAAAACUAUGCAGAAUAUUGCUAGGAAAUUGAUGAGGUUUAUGUGGAGGAACAUGCAUUGGCAUACAUGGAACGGUUGGAUGAUCGGU
rnacentral:lncRNA from 1 species